rnacentral:rRNA from 1 species
UACGGGGGGGGGCAAGCGUUGUUCGGAAUUACUGGGCGUAAAGGGCUCGUAGGUGGCCAACUAAGUCAGACGUGAAAUCCCUCGGCUUAACCGAGGAACUGCGUCUGAUACUGGAUGGCUUGAGUUUGGGAGAGGGAUGCGGAAUUCCAGGUGUAGCGGUGAAAUGCGUAGAUAUCUGGAGGAACACCGGUGGCGAAGGCGGCUUCCUGGCCUGUUCUUGACGCUGAGGCGCGAAAGCUAGGGGAGCAAACGGG